rnacentral:rRNA from 1 species
GGUUAAUACCCUGUGUAGAUGACGGUACCCGAAUAAGAAGCACCGGCUAACUACGUGCCAGCAGCCGCGGUAAUACGUAGGGUGCGAGCGUUAAUCGGAAUUACUGGGCGUAAAGCGUGCGCAGGCGGUUUUGUAAGUCAGAUGUGAAAUCCCCGGGCUCAACCUGGGAACUGCAUUUGAGACUGCAAGACUGGAGUUUGGCAGAGGGGGGUGGAAUUCCACGUGUAGCAGUGAAAUGCGUAGAGAUGUGGAGGAACACCGAUGGCGAAGGCAGCCCCCUGGGCCAAUACUGACGCUCAUGCACGAAAGCGUGGGGAGCAAACAGGAUUAGAUACCCUGGUAGUCCACGCCCUAAACGAUAUCAACUAGGUGUUGGGAGGGUUAAACCUUUUAGUGCCGUAGCUAACA